AGCUCCAAUAGUGUAUAUUAAAGUUGUUGCAGUUAAAAAGCUCGUAGUUGAAUUUCUACUACUAGUAGGAGGGUUAUUCUUCACUGAUUAGCCUGUCUUGAAGUAGUAUACACGGCGCCGUUGUAUGCAGCGAUGCCGUCUUUUACUUUGAGUAAAUUAGAGUGUUUCAAGCAAGCUAUUGCUAUGAAUACUGCAGCAUGGAAUAAUAAUAUAAGACUUUAGUUUUAUCUUGUUGGUUCGAGAACUAAAGUAAUGAUUAAUAGGGAUAGUUGGGGGCAUUCGUAUUCAACAGUCAGAGGUGAAAUUCUUAGAUUUGUUGAAGACGAACUAAUGCGAAAGCAUUUGCCAAGGAUGUUUUCA
rnacentral:rRNA from 1 species